rnacentral:rRNA from 1 species
GACGAACGCUGGCGGCGUGCCUAAUACAUGCAAGUAGAACGCUGAAGGAGGAGCUUGCUCUUCUGGAUGAGUUGCGAACGGGUGAGUAACGCGUAGGUAACCUGCCUGGUAGCGGGGGAUAACUAUUGGAAACGAUAGCUAAUACCGCAUAACAGUAGAUGUUGCAUGACAUUUGCUUAAAAGGUGCAAUUGCACCACUACCAGAUGGACCUGCGUGGUUUUGGUUGGUGGUGGGGGCAACGCAGCACCAAGGCGAGGAUCCAUACCCGACCGGAGAGGGGGGUCGGCCAGACUGGGAGGGAGACACGGCCCAGACGGAUACGGGAGGCAGCAGGAGUGAAUCGGCGGCAAUGGGCGGAAGUCUGACCGAGCAACGCCGCGGGAGUGAAGAAGGGUGCCGGAUCGUAAAGCUCUGUUGUAAGAGAAGAACGAGUGUGAGAGUGGAAAGUUCACACUGUGACGGUAACUGACCAGAAAGCGACGGCUAACUACGUG